AUAGACAUAAACCAUUAACAAUUUUUUUUUAAACAAAAAAAGUGUCCCAAUGUAAAGAAAUGCGGUACAUGUAUUGUAAUCUUGAGCCUGGUUCCAUUCUGACUGACUUGAAAAAUAAACUUAAUGUAAUUAUAUAUGGUGUAGAUAUAUUUAUGUAGAUGUGAUUUAUUUCUAGUCUUUUAGAACAAAUCCUAACAUUAUGUGACUUGUAGCAUAUAUAUACUAACAAACUGUUUUUUAAAGAUGUCCUCAAAUAUCAUCAAAAUCAACUCUUAUUAUAAUAUCCAUUUUAUCUACUGUACUCUCACAGUCACUCACAGGACAUUUAUUUACUGUAAUUUCA
rnacentral:lncRNA from 1 species